rnacentral:lncRNA from 1 species
GGAAAAUACAGCAAUACGUUGUGAAUCAAAUCUCAUCAAUGCAAAGAACAGGGAAAUGCUUCUUUUAUGAUAACUUAAGUAGGCCAGAAAACUGGAAAGGCACUGAAGAAAUGGAAUCUUCCUCGUGACUGCACAAGGAAGCCAAGCCUCCGAACUGCGAGCUGCGGGAUUAGCCCACCCUGCAACACUGUGCGCAGGGAUUCAUUUCUACCACUUUCAGAAAAUAAACUGUCUUCUUGUAAAGAGAGGGUUUUAUCACUGUAUUUUCCCUCUUCUAUGGGAUUUACAAAUAAUGUCUUUAGUUUUUU